rnacentral:rRNA from 1 species
GACGGACGCUGGCGGCGUGCUUAACACAUGCAAGUCGAACGAUGAAGCGGUGCUUGCACCGUGGAUUAGUGGCGAACGGGUGAGUAGUACGUGAGUGACCUACCUUUGACUCUGGGAUAAGCCUGGGAAACUGGGUCUAAUACCGGAUACGACCAAUCUCUGCAUGGGGUGUUGGUGGAAAGCGUUAUGGAGUGGUUUUAGAUGGGCUCACGGCCUAUCAGCUUGUUGGUGAGGUAAUGGCUUACCAAGGCGACGACGGGUAGCCGGCCUGAGAGGGUGACCGGCCACACUGGGACUGAGACACGGCCCAGACUCCUACGGGAGGCAGCAGUGGGGAAUAUUGCACAAUGGGCGCAAGCCUGAUGCAGCGACGCCGCGUGAGGGAUGACGGCCUUCGGGUUGUAAACCUCUGUUAGCAUCGAAGAAGCGAAAGUGACGGUAGGUGCAGAGAAAGCGCCGGCUAACUACGUG